rnacentral:rRNA from 1 species
UCAGGCCUAACACAUGCAAGUCGAGCGGAAACGAGUUAUCUGAACCUUCGGGGAACGAUAACGGCGUCGAGCGGCGGACGGGUGAGUAAUGCCUAGGAAAUUGCCCUGAUGUGGGGGAUAACCAUUGGAAACGAUGGCUAAUACCGCAUGAUGCCUACGGGCCAAAGAGGGGGACCUUCGGGCCUCUCGCGUCAGGAUAUGUCUAGGUGGGAUUAGCUAGUUGGUGAGGUAAGGGCUCACCAAGGCGACGAUCCCUAGCUGGUCUGAGAGGAUGAUCAGCCACACUGGAACUGAGACACGGUCCAGACUCCUACGGGAGGCAGCAGUGGGGAAUAUUGCACAAUGGGCGCAAGCCUGAUGCAGCCAUGCCGCGUGUAUGAAGAAGGCCUUCGGGUUGUAAAGUACUUUCAGUCGUGAGGAAGGUAGUGUAGUUAAUAGCUGCAUUAUUUGACGUUAGCGACAGAAGAAGCACCGGCUAACUCCGUGCCAGCAGCCGCGGUAAUACGGAGGGUGCGAGCGUUAAUCGGAAUUACUGGGCGUAAAGCGCAUGCAGGUGGUUUGUUAAGUCAGAUGUGAAAGCCCGGGGCUCAACCUCGGAAUAGCAUUUGAAACUGGCAGACUAGAGUACUGUAGAGGGGGGUAGAAUUUCA